CCUAGAUCUGCCCCUGCCUCAAAUGAUAGUUGGCAUUACCUCACUGACCUCAGUGGUAAUCACUCCGACCUACUGACUUAUAUAUCUUUUUAUAGUCAUAUUAUUGCCAAAUGGUGCAGUAUCUAUUUGUCAAAGAGAACUAAAAAUCACAUGUAAUGUAACUGGAUCUAUACUAGUAUGGACGUAUGGAGGAAUUAUAACCAGUUUCACCAGUGGUCAUACCCAACCACAGUCUAUUGCACCGUUCAGUUUCAUAUUACAGUCUCAUGGUAAUGGUAUACUGGUGUCAGUUGCAAGUGUUAAUGUGUCUGCUUCAUUAAAUGGGAGUACCCUUGAGUGUAGGAAUACAUUAAUCAUCACAGGUUCCAGUAUAAGACAACAAAUCACCUUUAAUGUUAAACAUUCAAUGGCUAUCAGUUAUCUUCAUGUUGAUGCUGUAUCAUCAGAUACAUUAUUAAUAUCUUGGGCUGGAGCUGAUUGUAUACAAUCAUAUGAUGUAUUCAUUAAUGGAACUAAUGUUAAUACUACCAGUGGAAUGAGUCUAUUGUAUAAUACUGGAGGAGCUAUUGGCAGUAUUGAUGUAUUGGUUAAUAGUGUUGAUUAUUAUGGAAGAGCAGUGGGUAACUUAUCAACUCAAUAUCAAUUUAACAACUAUAAUUUUGAAGUUGAGGCUAUUAUUAGUAACAGCAUGUCACUGAAUGUAAUAAUGAAGG